rnacentral:rRNA from 1 species
GACGAACGCUGGCGGCGUGCCUAAUACAUGCAAGUCGAGCGGACCAAAGGGAGCUUGCUCCUGGAGGUUAGCGGCGAACGGGUGAGUAACACGUGGGCAACCUGCCUGUAAGACUGGGAUAACAUCGAGAAAUCGGUGCUAAUACCGGAUAAUAAAAAGAACUGCAUGGUUCUUUUUUGAAAGAUGGUUUCGGCUAUCACUUACAGAUGGGCCCGCGGCGCAUUAGCUAGUUGGUGGGGUAACGGCUCACCAAGGCGACGAUGCGUAGCCGACCUGAGAGGGUGAUCGGCCACACAGGGACUGAGACACGGCCCAGACUCCUACGGGAGGCAGCAGUAGGGAAUCUUCCGCAAUGGACGAAAGUCUGACGGAGCAACGCCGCGUGAGUGAUGAAGGUUUUCGGAUCGUAAAACUCUGUUGUUAGGGAAGAACAAGUGCCGUUCGAAAGGGCGGCACCUUGACGGUACCUAACGAGAAAGCCACGGCUAACUACGUGCCAGCAGCCGCGGUAAAGUC